UACAGAGGUCCCAAGCGUUGUUCGGAUUCACUGGGCGUAAAGGGUGCGUAGGCGGUCGGGUAAGUCUGAGGUGAAAUCUUCAAGCUCAACUUGGAAACUGCGUCGGAUACUAUUCGGCUAGAGGAAUGGAGGGGAGACUGGAAUACUUGGUGUAGCAGUGAAAUGCGUAGAUAUCAAGUGGAACACCAGUGGCGAAGGCGAGUCUCUGGACAUUUCCUGACGCUGAGGCACGAAAGCCAGGGGAGCAAACGGG
rnacentral:rRNA from 1 species